UACGUAGGGUGCGAGCGUUGUCCGGAAUUAUUGGGCGUAAAGAGCUCGUAGGCGGUGUGUCGCGUCGGCCGUGAAAACCUGCAGCUUAACUGUGGGCUUGCGGUCGAUACGGGCAUCACUGGAGUUCGGCAGGGGAGACUGGAAUUCCUGGUGUAGCGGUGAAAUGCGCAGAUAUCAGGAGGAACACCGGUGGCGAAGGCGGGUCUCUGGGCCGUAACUGACGCUGAGGAGCGAAAGCGUGGGGAGCGAACAGG
rnacentral:rRNA from 1 species